GAUUAAGUUAUUAAGGGCGCACGGUGGAUGCCUUGGCACUAGAAGCCGAUGAAGGACGUUACUAACGACGAUAUGCUUUGGGGAGCUGUAAGUAAGCUUUGAUCCAGAGAUUUCCGAAUGGGGAAACCCAGCACGAGUUAUGUCGUGUUAUCUGCAUGUGAAUACAUAGCAUGCAAGAAGGCAGACCCGGAGAACUGAAACAUCUUAGUACCCGGAGGAAGAGAAAGAAAAAUCGAUUCCCUGAGUAGCGGCGAGCGAAACGGGAAGAGC
rnacentral:rRNA from 1 species